GAUGAACGCUGGCGGCGUGCCUAAUACAUGCAAGUCGAGCGAACAGAUGAGGAGCUUGCUCCUCUGACGUUAGCGGCGGACGGGUGAGUAACACGUGGAUAACCUACCUAUAAGACUGGGAUAACUUCGGGAAACCGGAGCUAAUACCGGAGAAUAUAUUGAACCGCAUGGUUCAAUAGUGAAAGACGGUUUUGCUGUCACUUAUAGAUGGAUCCGCGCCGCAUUAGCUAGUUGGUAAGGUAACGGCUUACCAAGGCAACGAUGCGUAGCCGACCUGAGAGGGUGAUCGGCCACACUGGAACUGAGACACGGUCCAGACUCCUACGGGAGGCAGCAGUAGGGAAUCUUCCGCAAUGGGCGAAAGCCUGACGGAGCCACGCCGCGUGAGUGAUGAAGGUCUUCGGAUCGUAAAACUCUUUUAUUAGGGAAGAACAACUGUGUAAGUAACUCUGCCCGUCUUGACGGUACCUAAUCAGAAAGCCACGGCUAACUACGUG
rnacentral:rRNA from 1 species